rnacentral:rRNA from 1 species
ACUUAAAUUGAAGAGUUUGAUCAUGGCUCAGAUUGAACGCUGGCGGCAGGCCUAACACAUGCAAGUCGAGCGGUAGCACAGAGAGCUUGCUCUCGGGUGACGAGCGGCGGACGGGUGAGUAAUGUCUGGGAAACUGCCUGAUGGAGGGGGAUAACUACUGGAAACGGUAGCUAAUACCGCAUAAUGUCGCAAGACCAAAGUGGGGGACCUUCGGGCCUCAUGCCAUCAGAUGUGCCCAGAUGGGAUUAGCUAGUAGGUGGGGUAACGGCUCACCUAGGCGACGAUCCCUAGCUGGUCUGAGAGGAUGACCAGCCACACUGGAACUGAGACACGGUCCAGACUCCUACGGGAGGCAGCAGUGGGGAAUAUUGCACAAUGGGCGCAAGCCUGAUGCAGCCAUGCCGCGUGUGUGAAGAAGGCCUUCGGGUUGUAAAGCACUUUCAGCGGGGAGGAAGGCGUUAAGGUUAAUAACCUUGGCGAUUGACGUUACCCGCAGAAGAAGCACCGGCUAACUCCGUGCCAGCAGCCGCGGUAAUACGGAGGGUGCAAGCGUUAAUCGGAAUUACUGGGCGUAAAGCGCACGCAGGCGGUCUGUCAAGUCGGAUGUGAAAUCCCCGGGCUCAACCUGGGAACUGCAUUCGAAACUGGCAGGCUAGAGUCUUGUAGAGGGGGGUAGAAUUCCAGGUGUAGCGGUGAAAUGCGUAGAGAUCUGGAGGAAUACCGGUGGCGAAGGCGGCCCCCUGGACAAAGACUGACGCUCAGGUGCGAAAGCGUGGGGAGCAAACAGGAUUAGAUACCCUGGUAGUCCACGCCGUAAACGAUGUCGAUUUGGAGGUUGUGCCCUUGAGGCGUGGCUUCCGGAGCUAACGCGUUAAAUCGACCGCCUGGGGAGUACGGCCGCAAGGUUAAAACUCAAAUGAAUUGACGGGGGCCCGCACAAGCGGUGGAGCAUGUGGUUUAAUUCGAUGCAACGCGAAGAACCUUACCUGGUCUUGACAUCCACAGAACUU